rnacentral:rRNA from 1 species
UACGUAGGGCGCAAGCGUUGUCCGGAUUCACUGGGUGUAAAGGGUGCGUAGGCGGGAAGGUAAGUCCGCGGUGAAAUCUCACAGCUCAACUGUGAAACUGCCGUUGAUACUGCUUUUCUUGAGUUCGGGAGAGGUUGAUGGAAUUCCAGGUGUAGCGGUGAAAUGCGCAGAUAUCAGGAAGAACACCCGUGGCGAAGGCGGCUCUCUGGAACGCAACUGACGCUGAGACGCGAAAGCGUGGGGAGCAAACAGG